UACGGAGGGUGCAAGCGUUAUCCGGAUUUACUGGGUUUAAAGGGUGCGCAGGCGGAUAUGUAAGUCAGUGGUGAAAUCUCCGGGCUUAACCCGGAAACUGCCGUUGAUACUAUGUGUCUUGAAUGUUGUUGAGGUGAGCGGAAUAUGUCAUGUAGCGGUGAAAUGCUUAGAUAUGACAUAGAACACCAAUUGCGAAGGCAGCUCACUAAGCAAAUAUUGACGCUGAGGCACGAAAGCGUGGGGAUCAAACAGG
rnacentral:rRNA from 1 species